AAGAAGUGUUUUCUGUGCCGGUUCAUGUAUGAGUCUGUUGGAACACAGCGUCAUAGAGGGUGACAACCCCGUUCAUGACAUGGAUCCCGGUGCUUUGUGCCCCACUCUCGAAGAGUCGAGUUGUUUGGGAAUGCAGCUCAAAUUGGGUGGUAAAUUCCAUCUAAAGCUAAAUAUUGGCGAGAGACCGAUAGCAAACAAGUACCGUGAGGGAAAGAUGAAAAAUCACUUUGGAAAGAGAGUUAACAGUACGUGAAAUUGUUGAAAGGGAAACGAUUGAAGUCAGACGUGCGUGAUGCGG
rnacentral:rRNA from 1 species